CAGACCUAUGGAUGGAGUUCAUGGACUGAACCUCUGAAAUGGUGAGCCAAAAUAAACUUUUCCUCUUCUAAGUUGUUCUUGUAGAGUAUUUCACUGUGACGAAAAGCUGACUGAAACAAACAUGAUUUAGUUAAAAGUCAUAAUUGGAGGACCAACAUUGGCUUAAAUCCAGUAAAAGUUUCUCUUUCUUUAAAGUCAGAAAGUAUAAUUUACUCCAAGAAACCCCCAGAACUGUCUCCUAUUCUAGUGUAUGGCAUUUAUUUUCAAGGUCAAUUCAUGGUCCAAAAUGGUUGCUCUAAUUACCGCCAUCUGGUAUUCCAGCCAAUGGGAAGGAAUAAGGAGGUUGUGAAGGGCAAAGGACAAUGUCAGUUGUUUCUUAAAGAAGGUGCUGCAUGAAUUUGUUUACAUUUCAUUGACCAACACGUAGUGCUAUGGUAUUCCCCUAGCUUCAAGGGAAAAUGUAAAUUAUUCUAGGUAGCUGUAUUCCUAGCUUAAAUUUUCAUUAAUACAGAAGAGAGAGAAUGGAUAACUAGGGUCCAAUUAUCAGUCUCUGUUACAGUGAUCUACUUUUCAGGACACCUAGAGUGGGGAAUUUUGGCUGGAUGGCACAAGAGAAAAUAAUUAUUGAAAGUAGUUGGUGUCUGAAAAAAAUAAAAUGAAGUAGUUGGUGUCUGAUAAGCCAGUUUUUGAUCUUACCAAGAAAAUAUCUUGAAUUACUCUGUCCAAUAAGAUAGCCACUAACCACAUGAGACUAUGGAGCAUUUAGAAUGUGGCUAUUCCAAAUUGAAAUGUGCUGUAAGUAUAACAUACAUUCUGGAUUUCAAAGACUGGGUAUAAAAAAAGGAUGUAAAACAUUAAUAAUUUUUACAGUGCAUACAUGUUGAAAUGUUAAUAUUUUACAUGUAUUAGAGUAAAUAAAUGAUAUUUUUAGAAUUAAUUUCAACUUUUUCUUUUUACUUUUUUAAAUUUAAAAUUAUACAUGUGGCUUGCAUUUUAUUUCUAUUAGAAAGCAUUGACCUAGAAUGUCCCAAAUCUAAUAGAACUGGUCUCCAUAGAAAGGAGUUUCUAUAUAGUCCUGAGAGGGAUCAUUCCUUGAAUGAAUUAUUCAAUGAAUGAUGAAUUCUCUAACGUGGGACUCAAAAAGCAAGAUUUUGGCACCAUCCUUGGAAAUGCUGCUAGAGGGAGAUGUUUCUGUGUCCCUUCAGGGGACAGAUAUCAAUGUUGACAUUCUCCUCAGAGCAUCCAAGGGAACUCAACUUCAUGGCAUUUCUUGUUCAGUGAACCAUUUUAGAGUUCCAUUUUAGAAUCACUUUUAGUGUUUCUAUGAAUAUUUUCCACAAAAAUGAGAAAUUGACUAGCAAGCUAAGUGAUAUGUCUGGGAGGAGUGACAUGUCUGAAAUUAAAAAACUGGAAUGCUAAUAAUAAGAACAUGCAUUUGCUACCCUGAAGUUUAGGCAUUUUUAUUUUUCUUCCUGUCAAGAGUUCCUAAUUAUCUUGAUCAGUGAUUCUUAAAGUAUGGGUUGUGGACCCUGCAGCAUCACCAACACCUGGGAGCUUGUUAUAAAUGCAGAUUCUUGGGUCCCACUCGAGACCCGAGGAAUCAAACACUAUGGGGUUGGAGUCCAGCACAGGCUGUUUUAACAAGCUUUCAGAUGAUUCUGCCAUAAGCUAAAGUUUGUUUGUUUGGUGCUGGGGAUCGAACCCGGGGCCUUGUGCAUGCAAAGCAAGUACUCUACCAACUGAGCUAUACCCCAGGCCUCCAUAAGCUAAAGUUUGAGGAUCAUCAGUUUAAAGCUAUAGUUUUCUUGCCAAGUAGAUCUUUACCCCCAUAAGAUACAUCCAGCAGUUGUUUUUUUUUUUUUUUUUAAUAAAAAUAUCAUCCUGUUUAAUGCUAUAUGUCACAAGAGGGAAAGUAUGCAAGAAGUGUUGUUACCUCUUGGUUGUAAACAUGAUAUCACAUUUCUUUCUGGUUUUUGAGUAAAAUUUGGUAAGAAAAUGAGAGCUCAUUUGAAAGGUAUGAGGCUGGAGGCUGUUGUUGGGGUGAGUCUCCUUAGCUCACCUCACUGCUAAGCCCACUCCUAAAUUUACUGCAAUUUCUCCUGGAAGUGGCUGUGGCUGGGAGCAGCCCAUCUGCUCAGGUUCCACCUGCUGGCUCUUGUGACCACCUGAACUUCCUGUCUGCUCCCAAGCAGCUUCUGUUCCCUAUUUCUCUCCUUUCCAGCCUGAUUCCCUCCUCCCUGAGUGGCAUUUUUGCUGUCCCAAAUAGCUCACUUCCUUAAUUUUAGUUAGUGUGAGCAGCUUUGCUCUAUAAGGCCUUUGCCAACUCCUAAGUCCUUAAUUGUUCUCUAGGCCAUCCAAGCCCAGUUCUUCCAAGGCACAGACUUACAAUCCUACACCUGAAAUAUGAGGCAUAAUAAGAGGCUCAGCCAGCAGCAGUUCCAUCACUAAACAAAUGUGUGGGAACUGCAGAGAUACCUGCUGACAGUGGCUAACUUGCUUGCUGACCAGUAUCUCAACUCCCCCACCUCCUGCCCCCCUAGGGACUGAAUUUUGCCCUGAAACUCAGAGAACACUGAGUUUCUUUUUCUUUUAGUUAAAACAAAAGAAUUGUGUUUUUUUUUUCCUCACAGUCCUGAAGCCCGAAGCCAGGCAAUCCGAGGUCCAUGUGCCAUUACGGUUGGUUUCUGGUGAGACCUCUCUUAUAGGCUUGUAGACAGAUGGCUGUCUUGCUGUAUCCUCAAACAGCCUCUUCUCUGUGCAUACUUGCAGGGGAAGCUUGCAUUCUGGUGUCUUUCCCUUAUCUUUCUUUUAAUCAUUUAUUUAAAUUUUUUUAAUUGAGAAAAUUUGCAUAUUAUAUAUUUAUUUUUCAUAUUGUAUCUCAUACACAUAUAUUAUCACAUACAGCUUGAUUUUUGAAAUAUGAAAUGGCUAAAUUAGUUAACAUAUGUUUCAUCCAGUUAACAUAUGUAUUAUCCCACAUAUUUAUUGUUUUGGUGGUGAGAACACUUGAAAUUUAUUCUUAGUGAUUUUUAAGAAUACAAUACAUUGUUAUUAACUCUAACCACCAAGUUGUACAAUAGAUCCCUGAAUUUAUUCAUCUUAUCUAACUGAAAGUUUAUAUCAUUUGACCGGCAUCUCCCCAUAGCCCCUUGAGUUUCUUAACCUGCUGAUGGAAAGUCAUGUUUGAGAUCCUGCCUGCCUAUCAGCUGGUCUUCUGGUCUUUUGGCGCAGGGAUUAGGUGGGGUAGGUGGCGUACAGAUGGGAUAUCAGUGGAUCUCAAAACUAAUGCCCUGCCCUUUCUAUCUCUUACAGGAACAAGCCUCAAAUGUUUAUGCCAUCUUGUAGUUUACAAAACACCUUCAGAUUUCACAAUUCACAAAGCAUCUCAACCGCUCUGAGAGGGGAGCAGAGUUAUCUCCUGAAUAUAGAAGUUUGUCAUCUUUCUGCAGGUGGCUCAAACAAUAAAAAGCAAAGUUAGGCUUAUAUCCAUUUAGGUUUUAUGUCACAUUGAGCUUUAGUUUACCAAAUGCCCCUGGUUAAGUGGAUACAAUUUCACACUAAUAAAGCCUAAGGGAUAUCUCCAUGGCUUUGUUCAAUGAAGUUUUUACAUAGUAAUGCAUUUAUGGAAAUCACAUUUGUAUUGAGUUUAUAAAUAGUGGUCAGAUUCAUUAUUUUUGCUAAUUUCUGUAAUGACUGUAUGUAGAAGCCUGUAUUAUUCUUUUUUUUUUUUUUUUGAGAAAACUCAGACUGAGGUAGGAUCUUGCUCAAGGGUACAUGAGUGUCACAGCAGAUUGUCACUUGGUUCUUCUUAUAAUAGAACCCCUGUCCACUAUAUGUACCUCUUCUCUGCUAUAAAUAGAAAGAAGAUGAGUCCAAUAAGGUAGGUUUGCUCCAAGCAGUUCUGUUUAGAAACACAGAGACUUAUGUUUCUUCCUCACCUUUCCAUGAAUUCUCCCAAGAUCUAGAGGUGGGAGCAAAUGCCUCAGGUGAUGGUUCUCUCUGAGGCUGGGAAAGUGAGGCUGAGAAAUAGCUGCAUCAUGGGAAAGAUACAUGUAGCGUACUGCAUUUAGUUUCUUCCAGACUUCACAUGUUUUUCAUGUGGGAUAUUUCUUUUUAAAAAAAUUGAAUUUAUUUAUUUUAUUUUAUUUUUUAAUACCAGAAAUUUAACCCAGGGGUGCUUAACUACUGAGCCACAUCCCCAGCCCUGUUUUAUAUUUUAUUUAGAGAUAAGGUCUCUCUGAGUUGCUUAGGGCCACACUAUGUUUUUUAGGGCUGGCUUUGAACUCGUGAUUCCCUUACCUCAGUCUCCCAAGCCACUGGAAUUACAGGCAUGAGCCACUGCAUCUGGCUUAAAUUUAUUCUUAAUAAAUAUAUAAAACAUAAAGAUUGUACAUAUGAACAAUGUACCAUAUGUUGUCUCAAUACAUGUAUACCUUGUAUAAUCUUUAAAUAAGUUAAAUAUCUC
rnacentral:lncRNA from 1 species